rnacentral:rRNA from 1 species
AGCGGAGGGAUCAUUACCGAGUUUACAACUCCCAAACCCAAUGUGAACGUUACCAAUCUGUUGCCUCGGCGGGAUUCUCUGCCCCGGGCGCGUCGCAGCCCCGGAUCCCAUGGCGCCCGCCGGAGGACCAACUCAAACUCUUUUUUCUCUCCGUCGCGGCCUACGUCGCGGCUCUGUUUUAUUUUUGCUCUGAGCCUUUCUCGGCGACCCUAGCGGGCGUCUCGAAAAUGAAUCAAAACUUUCAACAACGGAUCUCUUGGUUCUGGCAUCGAUGAAGAACGCAGCGAAAUGCGAUAAGUAAUGUGAAUUGCAGAAUUCAGUGAAUCAUCGAAUCUUUGAACGCACAUUGCGCCCGCCAGUAUUCUGGCGGGCAUGCCUGUCCGAGCGUCAUUUCAACCCUCGAACCCCUCCGGGGGGUCGGCGUUGGGGGAUCGGCCCCUCACCGGGCCGCCCCCGAAAUACAGUGGCGGUCUCGCCGCAGCCUCUCCUGCGCAGUAGUUUGCACACUCGCACCGGGAGCGCGGCGCGGCCACAGCCGUAAAACACCCCAAACUCUGAAAUGUUGACCUCGGAUCAG